rnacentral:rRNA from 2 species
AAAUUGAAGAGUUUGAUCAUGGCUCAGAUUGAACGCUGGCGGCAGGCCUAACACAUGCAAGUCGAACGGUAACAGGAAGCAGCUUGCUGCUUCGCUGACGAGUGGCGGACGGGUGAGUAAUGUCUGGGAAACUGCCUGAUGGAGGGGGAUAACUACUGGAAACGGUGGCUAAUACCGCAUAACGUCGCAAGACCAAAGAGGGGGACCUUCGGGCCUCUUGCCAUCAGAUGUGCCCAGAUGGGAUUAGCUUGUUGGUGAGGUAACGGCUCACCAAGGCGACGAUCCCUAGCUGGUCU